rnacentral:lncRNA from 1 species
GACUUUUAAUAUCUCAAGGUCGAUCAAAGAUCAAAUUCAGAUAUAAGUCGAUCAAAGGCUUUUAACAUUUCAAGACCGAUCAAAGAUCGAGUUUAGAUAUAAGUCCAUCAAAGACUUUUAACAUCUCAAGAUCGAUCAAAGACUUUUAACAUCUCAAUGUUGAUCAAAAGUCAAGUUUUAAUAUAAGUCAAUGAAAGGCUUUUAAUAUCUUAAGAUCGAUCAAAGAUCGAGUUCAAAUAUAAGCCAAUCAAAGAUUUUUAACAUUUCAAGACUGAUCAAAGGUCG